rnacentral:misc_RNA from 1 species
AAGUCGUAACAAGGUUUCCGUAGGUGAACCUGCGGAAGGAGCAGGAACACGGAUCCUACGUUUAACCACCCGUGCACCUUCAUCGAAACCCCCGUAAGUCCACACAAGCCGUCUGAUAUGGCACUAUGUGGGAAUAGUCCUUGAAAUCAGGAGUCUCAGUGGGGAGUUGAAGCGCUACAAUACCCAUACCGUGCUCCUACUGCUUAGGGAGAGCUGGAGCCGUUAAGAAUGGAUAACUUGGCUCUC